rnacentral:misc_RNA from 1 species
AUUUAACUAACGAAUGACCAUUUCGCAAGGCUUUUUCUUAAUGAAAUAAAAAAUAUUUAUUUGCUGUAAAAAAAUUGAUCCUUCCCUGCAUUUUGCAAAUGUGACAACGCUGUCAUGCUCGUAGCCACUUGUUUUGUUUAUUUUCUUAUCACUUGAAAUUAAUUUUCUUCGUCAACUUGAAAUUCAAAAAAAGUAUCGCAUAUUUUCUUAUCUAAGUAUUAUUAGCUAUUGUUCAUACAGCCAGCAGUUGCGCAGCACAUAUUAAAGUGAUUUCCCCUUCUUUGGAGCCUUCUUUCAAAGUAAAAUGGAGUAUGGCGGUAAGUCAGUUACAUUCGAUAGGAAAGCCGUGUUGGGUAAAGGAGCUACUGCUGUCGUUUUCUCUGGCACAUGGGGCAACCAAAAUGUCGCUAUCAAAAGAGGUGAAUUGCCCAAAUUCAACGUUCGUGAGGAAAGCACCAUGAAAGCCAUUGGGCAUCAUGAAAAUGUCAUCGAUUGUUUUGGCAUUUUGAAAGACUGUGAUUUCAUAUACAUCAUUUUAGAAUUGUGUGAUGCUACAGUGGAACAAUAUUGCCAAGGAAGUUACAAAGGAAUUGUACCUCCUGAUUAUCAAGCCCUUUACCAGAUGGCGGAUGGACUACACUUCAUUCACUCAAAGAACCUUGCCCAUCGCGAUAUAAGCACAAGCAACGUGCUUAUCAAGUUAACUGGUGACAAGGUCGUGCUGAAAAUAGCUGAUUUCGGGGUUUGUAAAAUUGCUUCCAAUAGCGGCAGCCUGUCGAUGAGUGGUGAUGGAUGCAAAGGAACACUCCCUUUUAUUGCUCCCGAGCUGCUCAAACAGAUGCAAGAUGAUAACUAUCAAGAAUCAAAUGAAAAUGGAGUAAGAGGGCACACCAGCAACGACAUUUUCUCCUUGGGUUGCGUAUUUUACCGAUUUCUCACUAAAGAUGGACAUCCCUUUAUAAAAGGCGCGGUGAAACUGUGUUAUCUCACAAUAAAUAAUCGGAUUAAAUCGAAUAUUCUCGAUAACAAACAAUCUUUGGAACGCUUGAGUGAGGAGCAAGCUUUUGCCAAAGCUUUGAUAGUAAAAAUGAUUGAUCCGGAAAAAGAAAAAAGACCCCAACUGGAAGCGGUAAAAGAAGAAUUGUAUUCACAUUUAAAUAGCAUAGAUCUGCAGUCAAACUGUACUCCUUCUGUUCCAUACUUAGUUGAAGGUGUUUAAAUACGCCAUCACAUAUGUUCAGUUCUUUAUGAUGGGCUAAAGUCGCAAUUGUUCAUUGUUUCAAAUGUUUAGGAAAAUGCUGGUUUGUCAUGCUGUCAUGGCAAAAAAGAAGUUCACGUAUUACAAAUUUACAAUCUU